AUCGCUUCUCGGCCUUUUGGCUAAGAUCAAGUGUAGUAUCUGUUCUUAUCAGUUUAAUAUCUGAUGUGUCCUCUAUAUGUGGACUACAUAUUAAGCAGAUUUUUGGCAAGAGGAGCAGAAAUGUGGAGCUUGCUCUCCCUUCUCUCCACGCAUCCACCUAGCAUUGCAGUGCCGCUGGGAACGGUGCUCUCAGU